rnacentral:tRNA from 1 species
GCCGAGGUGGCUCAGCCUGGUGGAGCGUCGGACUCAUAGGGAUUUACCAGACGUUCCUGGAUUUCCAGGGAAAUCCGAAGGUCGUGGGUUCAAACCCCACCCUCGGCA